GAUGAACGCUGGCGGCGUGCCUAAUACAUGCAAGUCGAGCGAAUGGAUUAAGAGCUUGCUCUUAUGAAGUUAGCGGCGGACGGGUGGGUAACACGUGGGUAACCUGCCCAUAAGACUGGGAUAACUCCGGGAAACCGGGGCUAAUACCGGAUAACAUUUUGAACCGCAUGGUUCGACAUUGAAAGGCGGCUUCGGCUGCCACUUAUGGAUGGACCCGCGUCGCAUUAGCUAGUUGGUGAGGUAACGGCUCACAAAGGCAACGAUGCAUAGCCGACCUGAGAGGGUGAUCGGCCACACUGGGACUGAGAAACGGCCCAGACUCCUACGGGAGGCAGCAGUAGGGAAUCUUCCGCAAUGGACGAAAGUCUGACGGAGCAACGCCGCGUGAGUGAUGAAGGCUUUCGGGUCGUAAAACUCUGUUGUUAGGGAAGAACAAGUGCUAGUUGAAUAAGCUGGCACCUUGACGGUACCUAACCAGAAAGCCACGGCUAACUACGUGCCAGCAGCCGCCGUAA
rnacentral:rRNA from 1 species